GCUGGGUGGGAAUGUGUCCACCAAAGCUUCUCUGUCACUGCCUCUUGGCUAAUGCUGCAAACAUAUCAGGAACCCAACAGUCUGCUUCCCCCCCCCCGCCCCUUUUGAUUCCUAUGCAGACAAUACUUGAAACCUUGUACACAGUUGUCCUUUCCAGCGCCUGGGGUUGGCAAAUUCUUCAUAAACAGGCUCAUUUAAAGAACAGCAGGAGGCUUCAGCUUUAGAAGAGGCUGGGCUGCCCCUUCCCAGCCGACAACUGCAAGCGUGUUCAGUGGUUUGCAUAUGAAUUUAGGCACAUCUGGACCCUCUGCUUCAACAUCCCGCUGGUACAGCCGCUGUCUCCCCUCGGUGCUGGCUGGCUGACUGUGUCCCAAGCACCCAACUAUGCAAAGAAUGCCUUAUAUCCGUUGUGUUUAAGUUACAUGGCAAUAUGUACAUCCAGCAAAGUUGGCAGUUAAGUCCAGAUUUUUGCUAGUGGCAGCAAGUCAAACUCUUUCUUCAACUCAAAUGGCUGUCUGGGUAUUUUUUACUUUUGUUUGUUUUUGUUUGUUUUGUAUCUGAUGGUGGCUCUUCUACAAAGGACUGUAAUUCUAGUGGCUUGAAUCUGUAAAAAUUGCCUUUGUUUGGUCCAAUAAACCUUUGAAUAGUUUAUUUGGUUUGUACUUGUUCUCCCUACCUCCAGCAGCUUGUAACUUCUUCCUCAAGAGAUUUGCAUUGAAAAUCUGGAUUUUAGAUUAGAGGUACAUUCUGCCCUUCUAUGACUUUUAUCCCAUAAAUUAUUACAUUCCCUUAAAUGAUCAGAGAGAAAGUCAGGGAUAUUCCCCGUUUUCUGCUGAAGCAACACAGAAUUGCAACAGGAUCCUGGUUUGGCUGCAGAGCAAUUAACAACAUUCCCAGUGCAGAGCUCUGCCCAGGAUUUCAGCUGCUGGGGACACGGGUGCUUAGCAGUUCCUAAACCCCAGAUCUCUAACAUACCUAUGGCUCACUGCCCCAGACCUCUAGCUAACUGUAAAAGUCUUGGACUGAAAUGUCUGAGAAGAGCCUAAGGGAGCUAAGUAUGCAAAUGUAAUUGCCAAUGAAGAAGAAUUAGGCUGCUUUGAAAAUCCUUAAUUAAUCUAUUUUGUUAGCAAUAAGUAAAAUCCUGUUUGACUUCCUGAAUCCAAG
rnacentral:lncRNA from 1 species